GUGAGGAAUUUUCCGCAAUGGGCGAAAGCCUGACGGAGCAAUGCCGCGUGAAGGAUGAAGGCCUAUGGGUUGUAAACUUCUUUUCUCAGAAAAGAAUUAUGACGGUAUCUGAGGAAUAAGCAUCGGCUAACUCUGUGCCAGCAGCCGCGGUAAGACAGAGGAUGCAAGCGUUAUCCGGAAUGAUUGGGCGUAAAGCGUCUGUAGGUUGUUUAAAAAGUAUUCUGUCAAAGAUUAGGGCUUAACCCUAGAUAGGCAGAAUAAACUUUUAAGCUAGAGUUUGGUAGAGGCAGAGGGAAUUCCCGGUGGAGCAGUGAGAUGCGUAGAUAUCGGGAGGAACACCAAAGGCGAAGGCACUCUGCUGGGCCAAUACUAACACUGAGAGACGAAAGCGAGAGGAGCAAAUGGGAUUAGAUACCCUUGUAGUCC
rnacentral:rRNA from 1 species